GAGUUUGAUCCUGGCUCAGGAUGAACGCUGGCGGCGUGCCUAAUACAUGCAAGUCGAGCGAACGGACGAGAAGCUUGCUUCUCUGAUGUUAGUGGCGGACGGGUGAGUAACACGUGGAUAACCUACCUAUAAGACUGGGAUAACUUCGGGAAACCGGAGCUAAUACCGGAUAAUAUUUUGAACCGCAUGGUUCAAAAGUAAAAGACGGUCUUGCUGUCACUUAUAGAUGGAUCCGCGCUGCAUUAGCUAGUUGGUAAGGUAACGGCUUACCAAGGCAACGAUGCAUAGCCGACCUGAGAGGGUGAUCGGCCACACUGGAACUGAGACACGGUCCAGACUCCUACGGGAGGCAGCAGUAGGGAAUCUUCCGCAAUGGGCGAAAGCCUGACGGAGCAACGCCGCGUGAGUGAUGAAGGUCUUCGGAUCGUAAAACUCUGUUAUUAGGGAAGAACAUAUGUGUAAGUAACUGUGCACAUCUUGACGGUACCUAAUCAGAAAGCCACGGCUAACUACGUGCC
rnacentral:rRNA from 1 species